UAGCUCAGUGGAAAGAGCACGGGCUUUGGAGUCCGAGGUCUUGGGUUCGAAUCCCGG
rnacentral:tRNA from 1 species